rnacentral:rRNA from 1 species
GAUGAACGCUGGCGGCGUGCCUAAUACAUGCCAGUCGAGCGAACAGAUGAGGAGCUUGCUCCUCUGACGUUAGCGGCGGACGGGUGAGUAACACGUGGAUAACCUACCUAUAAGACUGGGAUAACUUCGGGAAACCGGAGCUAAUACCGGAUAAUAUAUUGAACCGCAUGGUUCAAUAGUGAAAGACGGUUUUGCUGUCACUUAUAGAUGGAUCCGCGCCGCAUUAGCUAGUUGGUAAGGUAACGGCUUACCAAGGCAACGAUGCGUAGCCGACCUGAGAGGGUGAUCGGCCACACUGGAACUGAGACACGGUCCAGACUCCUACGGGAGGCAGCAGUAGGGAAUCUUCCGCAAUGGGCGAAUGCCUGACGGAGCAACGCCGCGUGAGUGAUGAAGGUCUUCGGAUCGUAAAACUCUGUUAUUAGGGAAGAACAAAUGUGUAAGUAACUAUGCACGUCUUGACGGUACCUAAUCAGAAAGCCACGGCUAACUACGUG